AUUGAACGCUGGCGGCAUGCCUUACACAUGCAAGUCGAACGGUAACGGGCCUUCGGGUGCCGACGAGUGGCGAACGGGUGAGUAUGCAUCGGAACGUACCUUUCAGUGGGGGAUAACGUAGCGAAAGUUACGCUAAUACCGCAUAUUCUGUGAGCAGGAAAGCAGGGGAUCGCAAGACCUUGCGCUGAUUGAGCGGCCGAUGUCAGAUUAGCUAGUUGGUGAGGUAAAGGCUCACCAAGGCGACGAUCUGUAGCGGGUCUGAGAGGAUGAUCCGCCACACUGGGACUGAGACACGGCCCAGACUCCUACGGGAGGCAGCAGUGGGGAAUUUUGGACAAUGGGAGCAACCCUGAUCCAGCCAUGCCGCGUGAGUGAAGAAGGCCUUCGGGUUGUAAAGCUCUUUCGGCCGGGAAGAAAUCGCACAGGCUAAUACCUUGUGUGGAUGACGGUACCGGAAUAAGAAGCACCGGCUAACUACGUGCCAGCAGCCGCGGUAAAAC
rnacentral:rRNA from 1 species